AGGGAGAGGCGCCCGGGGGCGGUUCUGUUACCCACGGGAAUGUCUGUGAUCCCCCGCGCCUCAUCCAAGGCCAUGGAGCCCUAGCAGCAGUCAAGGGGACCUCCCACCCCCGCCCCCCGCCAGAACCCAGCUGGGCACAGGUCAGGGGCUCAGUUCCAAGGACUCUCCUCCUCAUUUCUGAUGGGCCAGCUCCCUGCUCUCCUGGUCAGGGCUGAUGGAGUCCUCGGCGGCCUCCAUGGCUGGGCUGGAGGCCAGGGCUUCCCAGGGUAGAGCGCGCAGCAGGCCCGCGGGGAGGUGCUGGUUGACCAGUGGGCCUGACUGCAGCUCUCAUCCUGAGGGUCGACCUCAGUCACAACCCACGUGUCCUAACCUUCCAUCAACACUCAACAGGGAGAAAGUGGCUUCAGCUGGGGAGACUUGGAUAAAGCAAGAUGCUUGGUGAAACCUGACACAUCUCGGAUCCCCAAACACUGUUACAAUCCUGCAUGAUGUGGUGGGAAGGUCUGGGGUUUGGAAGCCAGACAACAUUGGAUUCAAACGCUGCACUCUACUGUCCAGCUCUACCGUGUGACUUUGGCAGAAGCACCUUGGUGCCACCUCUGCGCAAGGAGCUGGGGGUCAGAGGAUGCAGCCUUAGUUCCUGGCCUCCGGCGCUCACAGGCUUGCCGGGAUCGGGCUGCCUCUCAGGGAAACUUGUGGAACGUCUGAAAUUGGAGGUCAUCAUCCUUCAGCUACCUGGAAUCCUCUAGUCUCUAGAGCAGAAGAGACAGUCACUGAAUCCCAGGAGAAGUUUAAUGAACAACCAGAAUGGCCCAAGGUUUAUUAGGGAAACCCACCCAGUGGUCUGCUCCCUUUAUCCCUGAAUGCACAUUCCAGCUCUCUGCUGUCAGGGGGCAGACCCAUUAGCUGGCCGGCGAUCCCAGCUCCCAUCGGGUAGGGAGCCCUACCCCGUCAGCAUUAGGUGAGAUCUGACACUUUCUCACUUUCCCUGCAGAAGAUCAGUAGCCUGUGGGAAAGCAAAACUUAUUUAGAAGAAAGAUGUUUCCAAAAAAUAGAGAAUACCAGAGCCUUUCAACAAACACAACCAGCUUUCAUAUUUAUUCUCCUGCUUUCAUAAUAGAUUAUCCUGAAAUGAACUAUUUUUUAAAAAUUAUCUACCAGAUCACGUUGCAGAAGGCAUUAGGUUUUAUUUUUGUCUCCAGAAUUCACAUUCGAAUUUUACAGAGUUAAAAGAAAAACUCUGAGACCAAGGUAUCUAGCAUUUCAAGUGAAAAUGGUGAGAUUUUUUUAAAUGGGGGACAUUCACCAGACCAGGUCCCUCAUCCCUUCUUUGGCUAAUUUGCAGGAACUGACCUUCUCAGAAGGAUUGGAAGUCUGAGCAAAGCCAACCACUAGUUUCCAAAUUGAUUUUCAAACUAAAAUUGGAACAGUUCUCAAAUGCUCCCGGGAUUUGGGGCUAUUAAUUCUGAAGAACAAUGAGAACGAAAAAGUGAGUGUAGAAGAGGUGAUUUAUGACCAAAAGGAAGUUGCGAGCUUGGAAACUUGUAUGCAACCCAAUCACAGGCCCCUCUGGAGGCGUUCCAGGGAAGAGAUGGAGAACGUAAAGAGAGAGCAUUUCCGAGGGAUAUUAAAGCUUAUAAAAAGAGGUAAUGUGGGCUUUGGGCCUGAAAUGAGCGGGUGAGGCGCUGACCAUGCUGAACUCCUCAUAACACAGCAGGGUUUUGUGCAGCUGUCAUCAGCGCCUGAGACACCCCACAAGCCUUUCCUUGUAUUUAUUUCUUACCAUUAGUCCAUCACCAGGCAGGCUCGAUGGCAGGAAGAGAGUCUCCCCACCAGAGUGUGGGGCUGUGACCGCUGUUGCUCAAACCUGUGGUCUCAUCUCAGGUGUCAGGCUCGCAGGGACCCGGGCCGUGGCUCCAGCCGCUACCUGGUAAAGGCCAGCGACAGCCUGGUCAGAGCCGAGGUACACAGGACGGUGAAGCUGGGUACCAGAGCCUGGUCAGGUGUUCUGGGGAUGGACACCUAAUCUCACCCUUCAUUUUCAAAAUGUCUUGCAAAAGUUAUUUAUUAUUAUUUACAGCUUUAAUGAGGUAGAAUUUAUAUACAAUAAAUUGUACAAUUUAGAGUGUGCAACUUGCACCCUCUUUGUAUACAUGUACAUACGUGUGUAUAGACAUGAGCAUAUACAUAUGUGCCUCUACUUGAAGAGCUAACGGGAAUCAGCGAAUGCAUAUGCUGCUGUGGCUGUUGGCAGGGACUUCUUGUGGGUUGUACGCCAAUCCCAUUCCUCUGGGGUAACAAAAACAGGACGAGGAAAGGCCGCUGAGACGGGCUUCCAGCUUUCAAGUCUUGAGAGACAAGAGGUGAGACCAAUUGCAAAGAAACCCAAGUUCCCCAAAUGGCCAGGUAAAGGUCUCUUUCUAAAAGUGAACGGCAGGUAAUAAUCCAAUCUAGGGGGUCAAAACAAAACCUUACCCGGGUGUGGUCUUUUAUAGUUUUAAAAAUGUUAUACUACUAGGAUUUCCUUGGAGAGGUGCACAAAAUCCAGAUAGUUAUGAUUAUUACUAAUCAUCAUGUUCCAGUUCUGCCCCUUAGAAGUCAUUCUGUGGCUGAGUGGGAGAGUGGAAGGGAUCUGUACCACUGAGGGGCCGUGGCUGUUUCUAGGGGCGGAAGUCCCUCUGGGGAAGUCUCUGACGGGUUGACCAGAGGGCUUCCUAGUGUCACCACUACCUCCACCGGCAGCAUUAACCUCCGCCCUCCCCUGCCCAGCCUGUGCCUCCAGAUGAUGCACCAACAGAAUGAAAAUGGAGAAAAUAUUGCAUGUUUAUCAGUACUGGCCAAGGAAUAGGGUGGGGGGAGGGAGGGCAGGGGUGCAGAAAGGUCUGGGAAUGAGGAGAGAUCUAGUAUAUGGAGAAGAGUCAAGCCUCAUAAAGGCAUUUUACGGUGUGGCUAGGCCCCGAAUUGUUGGUGUCAUAUGUUCACUGGUCCCCUAGGAUCUGCAAGAGCCGGGAAGUGCCUCCCCUCCCAGUCUCCCCUUUGGCCAACUGGCAUUCUUGCUGACUUAGCAAUUCUUGGGAAAUUCACCUCUGGUCUUACUUAGAACGUUUCAGUUCUAUAUUCAUAAAUGGGAGAAGGAAGAAAUUCCUAAAAGUAAGGACUUGGCUAGUUGUGGAGGCAGAAGUUCCAUUUGGAGGCAGCAUCUGGAAAAGCAACGCCCCCCACCCCCGGGAAUUAUGUGUUGGAGAGCUGGGUGGUCAACAGCACCAAGGCGGGGCGAGGCCAGGCAUUCAGAAGUCUUCCCAGAACUGGGCCUGGAGGGAAGAUCAGCCCCAUCUUCAUCCAACUGCUUCUGACCAGAGGGCAUAUUACCCUGCACUUCCCAGUCCUCUGGAAUGAGAAUCCGGGCUAGUGCCAAAGGCCAGGCAUCCUCAGCGAUACCUGCACUUUGUAAACAACCCCAUGGAGCAUGCAAUUAGAGGUGUCCUAUAAGAAUCAUCAUUUAUUUCUUUUUUACAGCCCCACUUGGAUCCAGGAUGUUUCUGUGGGUUUUGAAAUGGAAAAGAACUGACGUCCUCUCUGCAAUCUUCUCAGCAGGCUAGUGGAUGACCUUAAACCUUCUGGUUUCUGUGCCAUGACCUAGGAUGUCAGCCUGGCAGAGACUUCAUGCUGAAUGCUGGCUAUUAUCCAAGGGCCAGAAGAGACCUAUCAGAUUUUCUUAAAUAUCCCCUGCCUUCACUUUUAAAAGGCAUUGCUACUUUAUUUAGUUUGUCAACAGGUAAGGUAUGCUCAUGAAACGAAUUUCAAAAAGGGUAACCAUAGAAACAUUUAUUUCAAAAUGUUAUUUUAUUUGUAUCAAGUACCAAUGUUUCUACUUUAUUUAGCUUUUCACACAUUAAAUUAGCAAUUUGGAAAAGCUAAAAAAAAAAAGCCUUCUUAUUGUCCUGGACCCCCAGCCCAAGUUCUCCUCCCCAGUUGACCAAUAUUUCAGAUUCUUGUAUGUCCUUCUAGAGUUAUUUUUUGCACAAUUAAGCAAGUAUGUAAAUGGGUAAUCGUUUCAUCCCCCUGCCCACUGCCUUUUGCCCCCAGGAGUGGUGGCAGUGGUGGGGUGGUUCUCUGGAAACAUUCUGAGGUGGAGAUUUGCAGGGCAGGACGCUUACUGGGGAGCACAUUCCAACCAACAUCAGUGAAGGAGAGAAAGAAGCUGGCCUGCCCAGAGGGUCACAACAGAGACCUCAGCCAGCUCCGUGUGAGUCCGGGGCCUCCCCAUUUGGGGUGAGGGGAGCAGGCCUUUGAUCAGUCAUUGUAUAUGGGCAUCAUCUGUGGUGGGGCUGCUCUCUUCAGUUCUGGGCAACCCCUGGAGAGAGUUUAGGGUCCCUCUAGCACUCUCAGCCACUGGGGAAUCUGGGUGGGCCUAGCCCAGCACCCACUUUAGCAGCAUAGAGUACAUAUUGCUCUGUAUGUAGUCUUUUACUUUACAGUAGAUCUUGAAGAUUGUUUCACAUCAGUACAUAAAUAGCUUCCGUAUUCC